GAUGAACGCUGGCGGCGUGCCUAAUACAUGCAAGUCGAGCGAACAGACGAGGAGCUUGCUCCUCUGACGUUAGCGGCGGACGGGUGAGUAACACGUGGAUAACCUACCUAUAAGACUGGGAUAACUUCGGGAAACCGGAGCUAAUACCGGAUAAUAUAUUGAACCGCAUGGUUCAAUAGUGAAAGACGGUUUUGCUGUCACUUAUAGAUGGAUCCGCGCCGCAUUAGCUAGUUGGUAAGGUAACGGCUUACCAAGGCGACGAUGCGUAGCCGACCUGAGAGGGUGAUCGCCCACACUGGAACUGAGACACGGUCCAGACUCCUACGGGAGGCAGCAGUAGGGAAUCUUACGCAAUGGGCGAAAGCCUGACGGAGCAACGCCGCGUGAGUGAUGAAGGUCUUCGGAUCGUAAAACUCUGUUAUUAGGGAAGAACAAAUGUGUAAGUAACUAUGCACGUCUUGACGGUACCUAAUCAGAAAGCCACGGCUAACUACGUG
rnacentral:rRNA from 1 species